AGUGAACGCUGGCGGUAGGCCUAACACAUGCAAGUCGAACGGCAGCACAGUAAUAGCUUGCUCUUACGGGUGGCGAGUGGCGGACGGGUGAGGAAUACAUCGGAAUCUACUUUUUCUUGGGGGAUAACGUAGGGAAACUUACGCUAUUACUGCAUACGACCUACGUGUGAAAGCAGUGGAUCUUCGGACCUUGCGCGAUUGAAUGAGCCGAUGUCGGAUUAGCUAGUUGGCGGGGUAAAGGCCCACCAAGGCGACGAUCCGUAGCUGGUCUGAGAGGAUGAUCAGCCACACUGGAACUGAGACACGGUCCAGACUCCUACGGGAGGCAGCAGUGGGGAAUAUUGGACAAUGGGCGAAAGCCUGAUCCAGCCAUACCGCGUGGGUGAAGAAGGCCUUCGGGUUGUAAAGCCCUUUUGUUGGGAAAGAAAAGCAGCAGGUUAAUACCCCGCUGUUCUGACGGUACCCAAAGAAUAAGCACCGGCUAACUUCGUG
rnacentral:rRNA from 1 species